AAAGGGCAGGUAGGUGGUCUCGUUUGUCUGGGGUGAAAGCCUUGAGCUUAACUCAAGAAGUGCCCCAGAAACGGCGAGACUAGAGUACUGGAGAGGGUCGUGGAAUUCCCGGUGUAGCGGUGAAAUGCGUAGAGAUCGGGAGGAACACCAGCGGCGAAGGCGGCGACCUGGACAGUUACUGACACUCAACUGCGAAAGCGUGGGGAGCAAACAGGAUUAGAUACCCGUGU
rnacentral:rRNA from 1 species